CGCAAGCCCGAGUCCAGCAGAACUUCAUGUCUAUGGUAAUAGCCUGCGAGCGGGUUAUAAUGCACAUAGGCCAUAUUCCUUUGAUGUACUCUGGUUCCAGAAGUUUAUUUUCCUCGCCACGCGGAGAAUGUUAUUUUGUUACAAAGUUGUUGCAAAGGACUUGUUACAAGUUUGUUACAGCAAGCAGACAUCAAGUUGUGUUCGUUCUGCUUGUUUUCAACAUGGCUUAUUUUCAACACGUUUUCAUUUCAAAAACCUGUUAACGUGAAAUUUGUUAGACAUUCUUCUACCAAAUAAAACCUCUGGAACCAGAGUACCGUAUGAUUUUACUGUCUAUUAGGGACCUUACGAUUUUGGAACGGCAACGCGACGGCGACGGCUACCAAUACAAUAGAUCAUUGAAAAGAAUUGAGUAAUUACAAUAUAUGAAUAAUUUAGACAUUGUCCUCGCUCUGUUUACAACGCCAAAUUACAUAUUUUCACGUCUUGAUACAACGGCUGCAUUCCAAGACACUGACAAGUGCAACUUCGAACUGGGUUUAUCAGAACUCUUCACAACCAUAAAACCCAUGUCUUAAACUUCUAAAAAUGUAUUAAAUUCAUACGAUUGAUAAUAUACGACGAACUAUCUUUACACCAUUUAUUUGAAGGAGUUUGUUUUGGCCGUCGCGCCAUCGCGUUGCCGUUCUAAAAUCGUAAGGUCUCUAUUGGUCGAAUACGACGUUGAAUAGGUUAGGAAUACUUAAAUAUUAUACAGUAUUUAAAAUAUUGUAAAUAAUUGUGCGGUAAGUUAAUAACACAAUGUUUAUAUGAAAUUAUGCGAGGUGUUUCUGUUAAAGAAAUAUAUAACAUUUGCAGUUGAAAUUCAGCUCUUGAUAAUUUGAUGUUUUUUGUAACAUAUGUUAUAAGAAAAUGUAACAUUUUAAGAAUAAAUAUAUUGGCAUUUGGUGAAUAUGAAUUACAUGCAGACCAUGAGGUACUGGGAGUUUUCAACUAUUCUAUUUUUCGCAGCUGUUCGG